rnacentral:rRNA from 1 species
UACGAGGGGCGCAAGCGUUGCUCGGAAUUAUUGGGCGUAAAGGGUAAGUAGGUGGUCUCAUUUGUCUUAUGUGAAAGCCUUGAGCUUAACUCAAGAAGUGCGUAAGAAACGGUGAGACUGGAGUCCUGGAGAGGUGAGUGGAAUUCCCGGUGUAGCGGUGAAAUGCGCAGAUAUCAGGAGGAACACCGGUGGCGAAGGCGGUGGUCUGGGCCGGCACUGACGCUGAGGAGCGAAAGCGUGGGUAGCAAACAGG